rfam:Aedes aegypti strain Liverpool supercont1.47 genomic scaffold, whole genome shotgun sequence.
GGCUCGGUAGCUUAGUUGGUAAAGCGCUCGUCUAGCUUACAAGAGUCCUGGCUUCGAUUCACAGCCGAGCGC